GGAUGCUGAAGGACCAGUCUCACUUGAAGUUCUGAGCUUGAGCAAAAAGGCUGACCAGCCUCUGGUUCCCAUACCGGUCAAGUGAUUGGAGUACCUUUCCAGUUUGCAAACAUCUGGGCAGACCCAGCUGGUAAGUUUACUUUUCUACUUUGACCAAGCAAACUGAAGCCAACAGAAGGGAACUUUCACCAGCAACUCCCAGCACAUCCUCUCGCCUUCUGAUGUCUGUGACCUCACUCUCACUGCCCCACCUCUUAUUACAGAUUGAACAGGAUCCAGGGGGAAUUACCAAGCCUGUUCCAUCGGACAUCCUGUGUGUCAUGUCCUGUGACCCAGUGGAUGCUCAGCACAUAAGUGAACCGACAGGAGUGAGUGAAGAGAUGGGAGCAUCUCAUUAUUGUGUUGGCUGCACUCUGUCCGAUGCCUUGAGAU